rnacentral:rRNA from 1 species
GAUGAACGCUGGCGGCGUGCCUAAUACAUGCAAGUCGAGCGAACGGACGAGAAGCUUGCUUCUCUGAUGUUAGCGGCGGACGGGUGAGUAACACGUGGAUAACCUACCUAUAAGACUGGGAUAACUUCGGGAAACCGGAGCUAAUACCGGAUAAUAUUUUGAACCGCAUGGUUCAAAAGUGAAAGACGGUCUUGCUGUCACUUAUAGAUGGAUCCGCGCUGCAUUAGCUAGUUGGUAAGGUAACGGCUUACCAAGGCAACGAUGCAUAGCCGACCUGAGAGGGUGAUCGGACACACUGGAACUGAGACACGGUCCAGACUCCUACGGGAGGCAGCAGUAGGGAAUCUUCCGCAAUGGGCGAAAGCCUGACGGAGCAACGCCGCGUGAGUGAUGAGGGUCUUCGGAUCGUAAAACUCUGUUAUUAGGGAAGAACAUAUGUGUAAGUAACUGUGCACAUCUUGACGGUACCUAAUCAGAAAGCCACGGCUAACUACGU